rnacentral:rRNA from 1 species
AGAGUUUGAUCAUGGCUCAGAACGAACGCUGGCGGCGCGCCUAAUACAUGCAAGUCGAACGAGAAUGUGUAGCAAUACACAUGUAAAGUGGCGAACGGGUGAGGAUUACAUGGGUAACCUACCCUCGAGUGGGGAAUAACCAGCCGAAAGGUUGGCUAAUACCGCGUACGCUUCCGGAACUGCGGUUUCGGAAGGAAAGCGAUACCGUGGGUAUCGCGCUCUUGGAUGGGCUCAUGCCCUAUCAGCUUGUUGGUGAGGUAACGGCUCACCAAGGCUUCGACGGGUAGCUGAUCUGAGAGGAUGAUCAGCCACACUGGCACUGCGACACGGGCCAGACUCCUACGGGAGGCAGCAGUAAGGAAUAUUGCGCAAUGGGCGAAAGCCUGACGCAGCGACGCCGCGUGGGGGAUGAAGGUCUUCGGAUUGUAAACCCCUUUCGGGAGGGAAGAUGGGAUGGGGUAACCCAUUCGGACGGUACCUCCAGAAGCAGCCACGGCUAACUUCGUGCCAGCAGCCGCGGUAAUACGAAGGUGGCAAGCGUUGUUCGGAUUUACUGGGCGUACAGGGAGCGUAGGCGGUUGGAUAAGCCCUCCGUGAAAUCUCCAGGCUUAACCUGGAAAGUGCAGAGGGGACUGUUCAGCUAGAGGAUGGGAGAGGAGCGCGGAAUUCCCGGUGUAGCGGUGAAAUGCGUAGAGAUCGGGAGGAAAGGCCGGUGGCGAAAGCGGCGUUCUGGAACAUUUCUGACGCUGAGCUCGAAAGCGUGGGGAGCAAACAGGAUUAGAUACCCUGGUAGUCCACGCCUUAACGAUGGAUACUAAGUGUCGGCGGGUUACCGCCGUGCCGCAGCUAACGCAGUAAGUAUCCCGCUGGGAAGUACGCCGCAGUGAAACUCAAGGAUUGACGGGGCCCGCACAGCGGUGGGAGCAUGUGGUUUAAUUCGACG